CAGGUGUGACGAAGACGGACAAGAGGUCUCCUAGUCGUUCGAACGCACCCUCUAAUGCAAAGUCGAACCUCGAAGAUCCCAUCGUAAUUCAUCGGUCGUACGCGCGAUUACAAAAAUUCUACAGUGAAAAUUCGUAGAGACAAUAAUAAAGAAAGAAAGGAGGAUAAUCAAUCACGAAUUGGGGAAGAACGUUGAUUUUCUAUCAUCGUAAUCAUAGCUGGAAGAUAUUUUGCACAGUGAUUUAUAGGGGGGGGGGAGAGGGAGGAAAGAAAUAAAAAAAAGACAUGUAAGAAAAUGAUGAAAAGAAGGACAUUGAUCUAAUCGUCGUCAUUGUUAUCACUAUUGGUUAACGUUGAUUUGAAACGAUGAUGGUGACAGAGGGAAGCCGAUAGAACAGAAAGAACUCUUUCGCGCGAAGACGU